GCUUUUGUACCUGGAUAGCUCAGUUGGUUAGAGUGUGGUGCUGAUAAUGCCAAGGUUGCAGGUUCGAUCCCCAGGUGGGAGAGCU
rnacentral:tRNA from 1 species